rnacentral:rRNA from 1 species
AAGACCUUGCGCUUUGGGAGCGGCCGAUGUCUGAUUAGCUAGUUGGUGGGGUAAAGGCCUACCAAGGCGACGAUCAGUAGUUGGUCUGAGAGGACGACCAGCCACACUGGGACUGAGACACGGCCCAGACUCCUACGGGAGGCAGCAGUGGGGAAUUUUGGACAAUGGGCGCAAGCCUGAUCCAGCAAUGCCGCGUGAGUGAAGAAGGCCUUCGGGUUGUAAAGCUCUUUCAGUCGAGAAGAAAAAGCUGCAGUGAAUAACUGUAGUUCAUGACGGUAUCGACAGAAGAAGCACCGGCUAACUACGUGCCAGCAGCCGCGGUAAUACGUAGGGUGCGAGCGUUAAUCGGAAUUACUGGGCGUAAAGCGUGCGCAGGCGGUUUUGUAAGUCAGAUGUGAAAGCCCCGGGCUCAACCUGGGAAUU